GAACUCCUCAGCUGCAUCGUGUUUCGCAUAAGAUCGGCGGGGAGCGUCAAGUAUGCGUACAGUAUGACGGGGUGCAGCGCACCAAACUGCACAAGCUGCACGGAAGGUGGCAAAGCUUCUUACGCGGUGCCGUGCGAACGGACAGAUGUGCGCCGAGACCGGCUGGCUCCGCAAGAGACCAGGAUAUGCGAGUUGCUUUGAAUUCUGCCUCCCAAGGCUCCAAGAACCAGCACUCUUGUCCUGCUACCUGCAGCCAUUGGUCAUCCAUUCCCUUGUACGAAAUAAAUUUGAUCUAUA